rnacentral:tRNA from 1 species
UCUGAGGUGGCAGAAACUAAUGCAAUGAAUUUAAGAUUCAUUUAUAAAUAAAUUUAUUUAUUCAGAA